rnacentral:misc_RNA from 1 species
GCCAAUCUAAGGCUGGAGUGUCAAUUAAAGCUUUGAUCUUACUCUCCUCAUCAGCUUUACUUGGAGGAGGAGCAUCCUGCACUUGGUUGCUUGACUGUACUGAUAUUGUUUCAGGAAUAGAGUAAAGAUCAUUUCCAAAUUCAUCCCAUUCAAGAUCUUCAGGAUAUUUGGUGGCAGAUGACUCCCCUCCCACAAAAUUACUUCUAACUGCUUGAGCCUCCUCAGAUCGGUAUUCUACCUGGGGCUCGUCUGGUUCUGUUACAGGUGCAGUUACUAUGGGCAUGCGAGGUCGUCCAGGAACGCGACGAAUCAAAACACUAGUAUUUUUGGGAAUCAAGGUGUCCUCAUCAAGAUAUUCUUCGUUAGACUGGGCGUUGGUGACAACGAGGUCGAAAUCUGUACCCCUG